rnacentral:sRNA from 1 species
CGGAGUGGCUGCCCUGCGCGGGGACACUCAGAGCCCGGUGGGCAGGAGGAAGGCGGCAUGCCCCAGACGGUGAUCCUCCCGGGCCCUGCGCCCUGGGGCUUCAGGCUCUCAGGGGGCGUAGACUUCAACCAGCCUUUGGUCAUCACCAGGAUUACACCAGGAAGCAAGGCGGCAGCUGCCAACCUGUGUCCUGGAGAUGUCAUCCUGGCUAUUGACGGCUUUGGGACAGAGUCCAUGACUCAUGCUGAUGCGCAGGACAGGAUUAAAGCAGCAGCUCACCAGCUGUGUCUCAAAAUUGACAGGGGAGAAACUCACUUAUGGUCUCCACAAGUAUCUGAAGAUGGGAAAGCCCAUCCUUUCAAAAUCAACUUAGAAUCAGAACCACAGGAAUUCAAACCCAUUGGUACCGCGCACAACAGAAGGGCCCAGCCUUUUGUUGCAGCUGCAAACAUUGAUGACAAAAGACAGGUAGUGAGCGCUUCCUAUAACUCGCCAAUCGGGCUCUAUUCAACUAGCAAUAUACAAGAUGCGCUUCACGGACAGCUGCGGGGUCUCAUUCCUAGCUCGCCUCAAAAGACGGGAACUACUUUGAACACAAGCACAACAUUCGGCCCAAACCCUUCGUGAUCCCGGGCCGAAGCAGGUCAUACGCGCUGAGACUGUGGAGUUUGCAGUGCAUGCUUCUUAAAUCAGUUCUUACUAAUCAUCAAGAAAAGUAACUGGUAGAUGUUUGGAGUGGCUUUUCUCAUUGCGAAGCUUAUUUCAAAAGCAAAAAGAAACAAACUCACUUGGCAGAGAACAGAAGCCAAAUAACUUGCAUUUCCAAGGGUAAAUAUUGACAAGAUGACAGAGCUGUGAAAUUGUAUGCGAUCACCACGUGUAUUUAUAGCGAACACCCCUGAGGCUCUGGGGAUCCCAUCCAGAACACUGUGACCUUUGAGUCGGGCAGUCAGUAUGUCUAUCCCAGGUCAGGAAAGCCCUGCCAGCAGGAGCGAGCAUGGAAACCAGCCCCGAUUAGGAGCAAGGAAUCAGGUGAACAAGCCAGAAUGAUAAGGAGCAAGCUCUUCCUUCUCGUCUCUCAGUAGAGAAACUGAUCAUCUUCAGAUCAUCCUUUUCAAAUAUCUUCUCUAGAAAUUGAACUCCAACCUAAGGGGAAAGAAAAUAAUGCCCUGUAUUGCCAAAUCAGGAAACAGUGACUUCAGGAAACCUCUGUUCCAUCCUUCUGACCUCAGCUAAGCCAGUCAGCCCACAGGAAGGAAGCUGGUGGUUAGACCGGAUUGAUUCCGACAGGAACAUUGAAUAUGAUUUACCGCAGCUGUUGCAAACUGAUGGCCCAUAGGUGGAUUUAUUUCACAGGCAUGUUUUAUUUAAUUCUUUUGUUUAAAAAAAAAGAAUUUAAGUGCCUUUAGACAGAACAUUUAAACUCACCAUCUUGUCAAAAUGCGCAUCACUCUUAAGUGUGUGAGACGCGGCCCAUUUUCAUACAUGUGUGACCUCCUGGCCCCUCUAGACACCCGAGCUCAUGUCUCCUGUCAUAAGCUGCGGAUAGCAGGUCAUCCCUUAUGUAUGAUUGCCAUGUCCAGACCUUUCAGGAAGCUACAGGCAGAGCCAGGUGAUUGUCUCAAAAUAUGCCAGACAAUUCUUGUGAUAUCAGAUCCAGAAAGGAGCCCUGGACCAGAGGAGCAGGAGAAAGGCGUUAAGAAGGCAACCAUGAGCAAACACAUCUUCCCCCCACUGGAACGUGAGCUCAGUGUCUGCAGGGGCCUGGUCUGACUGGCUCAACAUUAUACCCCCAGCACCUAGAAAUGAGACAGGAUAAAUGCUCAAUAAGCAACCAUCUACAAACAGACAAAAUAAACGCCCAAUAAAUGCUCACUGGAUAAAGGAAUCAAAUCCUGAGGGUGCACAACAUUUCCCGAGCGAGUGGCAAGAAGAGUCCAGAGCCGUCUCGCUCCCGAUGCUGGCAGCUCUGUGUCCUCUCCUGCUUCUCUCUAUGUGUUCCCUUGUUCUUACUCUGUUCUCAUCUGCAUCUUUUCCGUUUCUCCACUUUCAACAGCUUCCCCACUCCAACCCAACCCCAAUAACAAAACACUGGAUUUAAAGUUAAAAGGAUAUGAUAUUUUACUGUUGAAUAUAUACAACUUCCCAAAGAAGCAUAGUAAAAUUAAUCACUUGCAUUCUUUUCAGGUUAGUGUGACUGAGUCCACCCACACAAGCUCUGGGGCUUCAGAAGGCUUGAAUAAAGUGAUACGUUAGAGUAACACAUAUCCUGCCUUUACUAAAAACCUAUAACAUUUAAUUUUAUAAAAAGUCAGGAAAGUCAGAGAAUCCUAGGUAUAUAAUCACCUUUUAAAAAAAAUUUUCAUUUUAACUUAAACAUAGGGAUAAUGGCAAGCCACUCAUAAUGUUGUCAUUUGAAGAUAACACCUUUUAAUAUAGCUGAAUUUGGAAGAGAGAAGGAGAGAAACAGAAAUGAGAAGUUUUGCUUAAAAAACAGAUGCCAGUGCACAAAUCUUAAAGAAUUAUAAGGCCUGGUGCGAUGGCUCACACCUGUAAUCCCAGCACUUUGGGAGACAGAGGUGGGCGAAUCACAAGGUCAGGAGUUCGAGACCAUCCUGGCCAACAUGGUGUAACCCCAUGUCUACCAAAAAUACAAAAAGUUAGCUGGGCAUGGUGGCAGGCACCUGUAAUCCCAGCUACUGGGGAGGCUGAGGCAGGAGAAUCGCCUGAGCCUGGGAGGCGGAGGUUGUAGUGAGCUGAGAUCAUGCCACUGCAACAAACGUGAGACUCCAUCUCAAAAAAAAAAAAAAAAAAAA